AUCUUCACCUUUUUCAUCCAUAGUUAAUUUUUCUAGAGUAUAUUUAUAAACAAUAUCAAUGAAAAAUUUUAUAUCUUUUUCAUCUACUGUAUGAUUCUAAAAUAUUUAUGAAAUAUUUCUUUAAUCUUAUGUUCUUUAUUUUUAUCCUGUAGGUUAAGGAAACUAAAUAUACUUUGACAGUAUGUAAAAUCAUCAUUAGUUAAUCCAAUAUGUCUAGGUCGGGUUCCUAAGUAUUUUCCAACUAUUUGAUGUAUACCUAAAUAUUCUAUUCCAUACAUUAAGUGUAUUAAAAAUUUUCCAAAGUUACUCUCUAAUCGAGGUAAAUAAGGAGUAGUUGCUAAUCCAAUUUGGAAAGUAAUAGGAUAUGUUUCCAUUAAUUUUCUUGUAGUUUUAGCAAAUUCUAUGUCUCCAGUAU
rnacentral:lncRNA from 1 species